ACUGAAAGUGCAGAGCUCCAGAAGCAGAGAAGAUGAAGAUAUUCGGGAAGCAUGUGUUUCCAGGCCAAAUCGCACUCUUCGCCUCAGGGGUUUUGUUCUUGGCAUCAACAACGUACGAUGUGCACAGAUCAAUAAAGAACAAUGAAACCCCUCCUUCCAAGGAACAAAUGGAAGCCUUAGAAGAGUACAUCAGGUCGCGGCGUCGCUCUCCUUGAUCCCUUCCUCUUCCUCCUCUGCUUUCACUCUGUAAUACUUCUUACAUGAUUCGGUAUCUCAAUCGAUGUAAUAUUUCGUGAAAACUUUAAUUCAUGUUGGAUAACGCCAGGUUAUUGUAUUAUAGUUCAGUAUGUUAUAAUUUGAAAGUGAUGACAUAUAUUAUUAAAAUAAUUAUACUGUUAAUUAUUUACUGUUUUCUAAUUGAUUAGUUCA